GGUUGUAUGGUCUAAUGGUCAUGACAUCAGACUCUGAUCCGUAUUAGAGUCAUAUCUGGUGAUCCCGGUUCGAUCCCGGGUACGACCU